UUUUCGCUAAUUUCUUACUACUUCACUUGAGAGAGUCCCAGAAGAACGGUGUGAUGAUUCAUCAGCCCUACUUCCUCAUUUCUGCUGACAGAGAGCUAACUUUGUCUCCAUUUCCAUGGUCGUCCCAAAAGAGCAAAAACAAAACAACUUUAAAAAAAUUUUAAUUUGCUACGUUUGGUGCGAAGUGACUUCCUGUGAGCUGGAGAGGCCAAAGGCUGGAGAGACCCCACUGUAGCCCAUUCUAUGACUGAGAGAUCCGAGACCCCAAGAGCCUACAAGAUUUCCUGUUUCUACACAACCGCUCAGUAGCAUACAGAUUUGGGCAGGGAUCUGCUAGUUUUAGGCUGUGAUUUUCUGUAACUUUGUGGAUGAUAAAUAGAUCGAAGCUUAUCUGUGCUAUGUCACAAGGAAACACAUAACCAUAAAACUUUCUGGUGAGAGC
rnacentral:lncRNA from 1 species